rnacentral:rRNA from 1 species
UACGGGGGAGCCAAGCGUUGUUCGGAUUACUGGGCGUAAAGGGCGCGAUAGGCGGUCGACGCACAAGUCAGUUGUAGAAACUCUCCGGGCUUAACUCGGAAAGGUCAACUGAUAGCUGUGCGACUAGGAGUGCAGGAGGGCAACUGGAAUUCUCGGUGGUAGCGGUGAAAUGCGUAGAUAUCGAGAGGAACACCUGCGGCGAAAGGCGGGUGCUGGGCUGCACUGACGCUGAUGACGAC